AUUGAACGCUGGCGGCAGGCUUAACACAUGCAAGUCGAGCGGAGACUUCGGUCUUAGCGGCGAACGGGUGAGUAAUACCUAGGAAUCUGCCUAUUAGUGGGGGAUUACGAAUCGAAAGGUUCGCUAAUACCGCAUACGUCCUACGGGAGAAAGGGGGGGAUCUUCGGACCUCUCGCUAAUAGAUGAGCCUAGGCCGGAUUAGCUAGUUGGUGGGGUAAAAGCCCACCAAGGCGACGAUCUGUAGCUGGUCUGAGAGGACGACCAGCCACACUGGAACUGAGACACGGUCCAGACUCCUACGGGAGGCAGCAGUGGGGAAUUUUGGACAAUGGGCGAAAGCCUGAUCCAGCAAUGCCGCGUGCAGGACGAAGGCCUUCGGGUUGUAAACGUAGCUUUUGUUACGGUAACGAAACGGUACGUAGCCCUAACUACGGUAGGGCGUAAUGACGGUACCGUAACGAAUAAGACACCGGCUAACUACGUAGCCAGCAGCCGCGGU
rnacentral:rRNA from 1 species